GGAGGGUGCAAGCGUUAAUCGGAAUUACUGGGCGUAAAGCGCACGCAGGCGGUCUGUCAAGUCGGAUGUGAAAUCCCCGGGCUUAACCUGGGAACUGCAUUCGAAACUGGCAGGCUAGAGUCUUGUAGAGGGGGGUAGAAUUCCAGGUGUAGCGGUGAAAUGCGUAGAGAUCUGGAGGAAUACCGGUGGCGAAGGCGGCCCCCUGGACAAAGACUGACGCUCAGGUGCGAAAGCGUGGGGAGCAAACAGGAUUAGAUACCCUGGUAGUCCACGCCGUAAACGAUGUCGACUCGGAGGUUGUUCCCUUGAGGAGUGGCUUCCGGAGCUAACGCGUUAAGUCGACCGCCUGGGGAGUACGGCCGCAAGGUUAAAACUCAAAUGAAUUGACGGGGGCCCGCACAAGCGGUGGAGCAUGUGGUUUAAUUCGAUGCAACGCGAAGAACCUUACCUACUCUUGACAUCCAGAGAACUUAGCAGAGAUGCUUUGGUGCCUUCGGGAACUCUGAGACAGGUGC
rnacentral:rRNA from 1 species